rnacentral:rRNA from 1 species
GACGAACGCUGGCGGCGUGCUUAACACAUGCAAGUCGAACGGAAAGGCCCUGCUUUUGUGGGGUGCUCGAGUGGCGAACGGGUGAGUAACACGUGAGUAACCUGCCCUUGACUUUGGGAUAACUUCAGGAAACUGGGGCUAAUACCGGAUAGGAGCUCCUGCUGCAUGGUGGGGGUUGGAAAGUUUCGGCGGUUGGGGAUGGACUCGCGGCUUAUCAGCUUGUUGGUGGGGUAGUGGCUUACCAAGGCUUUGACGGGUAGCCGGCCUGAGAGGGUGACCGGCCACAUUGGGACUGAGAUACGGCCCAGACUCCUACGGGAGGCAGCAGUGGGGAAUACUGCACAAUGGGCGGAAGCCUGAUGCAGCAACGCCGCGUGCGGGAUGACGGCCUUCGGGUUGUAAACCGCUUUCGCCUGUGACGAAGCGUGAGUGACGGUAAUGGGUAAAGAGGCACCGGCUAACUACGUG